GACGAACGCUGGCGGCGUGCCUAAUACAUGCAAGUAGAACGCACAGUUUAUACCGUAGCUUGCUACACCAUAGACUGUGAGUUGCGAACGGGUGAGUAACGCGUAGGUAACCUGCCUGGUAGCGGGGGAUAACUAUUGGAAACGAUAGCUAGUACCGCAUAAUAUUAAUUAUUGCAUGAUAAUUAAUUGAAAGGUGCAAUUGCACCACUACCUGAUGGACUUGCGUUGUAUUAGCUAGUAGGUGAGGUAACGGCUCACCUAGGCGACGAUACAUAGCCGACAUGAGAGGGUGAUCGGCCACCCUGGGACGGAGACCCGGCCCAGACGCCUACGGGAGGCAGCAGUAGGGCAUCGUCGGCAAUGGACGAAAGUCUGACCGAGAAACGCCGCGUGAGUGAAGAAGGUUGUCGGAUCGUAAAGCUCUGUUGUAAGAGAAGAACGGGUGUGAGAGUGGAAAGUUCACACUGUGACGGUAUCUUACCAGAAAGGGACGGCUAACUACGUG
rnacentral:rRNA from 1 species